GCGGUGACUUAAGCAACGGAGCGCGGUGAAGCCCAUUUUUCUCCUUCCUCGCAGCCGCACCGGGCAGCCCGCGGCGCGCGGCCCCUACACUCCGGCCCGAGAUGAAUGCUGCGGCAGAAGCCGAGUUCAACAUCCUCCUGGCCACCGACUCGUACAAGGUUACUCACUAUAAACAGUACCCACCCAAUACAAGCAAAGUUUAUUCCUACUUUGAAUGCCGUGAAAAGAAGACAGAAAACUCCAAAAUAAGGAAGGUGAAAUAUGAGGAAACAGUAUUUUAUGGGUUGCAGUACAUUCUUAAUAAGUACUUAAAAGGUAAAGUAGUGACCAAAGAGAAGAUCCAGGAAGCCAAAGAGGUGUACAAAGAGCAUUUCCAAGACGAUGUCUUUAAUGAAAAGGGAUGGAACUACAUUCUUGAGAAAUAUGAUGGGCAUCUUCCAAUAGAAGUAAAAGCUGUUCCUGAGGGCUCUGUCAUUCCCAGAGGAAAUGUUCUCUUCACAGUGGAAAACACAGAUCCAGAGUGUUACUGGCUUACAAAUUGGAUUGAGACUAUUCUUGUUCAGUCCUGGUAUCCAAUCACAGUGGCCACAAAUUCUAGAGAGCAGAAGAAAAUAUUGGCCAAAUAUUUGUUAGAAACGUCUGGUAACUUAGAUGGUCUGGAGUACAAGUUACAUGAUUUUGGCUACAGAGGAGUCUCUUCCCAAGAGACUGCUGGCAUAGGAGCAUCUGCUCAUUUGGUUAACUUCAAAGGAACAGAUACAGUAGCAGGAAUUGCUUUAAUUAAAAAAUACUAUGGAACGAAAGAUCCUGUUCCAGGCUAUUCUGUUCCAGCGGCAGAACACAGUACCAUAACAGCUUGGGGGAAGGACCAUGAAAAAGAUGCUUUUGAACAUAUAGUAACACAAUUUUCAUCAGUGCCUGUAUCUGUGGUCAGCGAUAGCUAUGACAUUUAUAAUGCGUGUGAGAAAAUCUGGGGUGAAGAUCUAAGACACUUAAUAGUAUCAAGAAGUACAGAGGCACCACUAAUAAUCAGACCUGAUUCUGGAAAUCCUCUUGACACUGUAUUAAAGGUUUUGGAUAUUUUAGGUAAGAAGUUCCCUGUUACUGAGAACUCAAAGGGCUACAAGUUGCUGCCACCUUAUCUUAGAGUUAUUCAAGGGGAUGGAGUGGAUAUUAAUACCUUACAAGAGAUUGUGGAAGGCAUGAAGCAAAAAAAAUGGAGCAUAGAAAAUGUUUCCUUUGGUUCUGGUGGAGCUUUGCUACAGAAGUUAACAAGAGAUCUCCUGAAUUGUUCCUUUAAAUGUAGUUAUGUUGUAACCAAUGGCCUUGGGAUUAAUGUCUUCAAGGACCCGGUUGCUGAUCCCAACAAAAGGUCCAAAAAGGGCCGAUUAUCUUUACAUAGGACACCAGCAGGGAAUUUUGUUACACUUGAGGAAGGAAAAGGAGACCUUGAAGAAUAUGGUCAUGAUCUUCUCCAUACUGUCUUCAAGAAUGGGAAGGUGACAAAAAGCUAUUCAUUUGAUGAAGUAAGAAAAAAUGCACAGCUGAAUAUCGAACUGGAAGCAACACCUCAUUAAGCUUUGUUUUAUGACUGGGUAUUCUUCCAGUUCAAAGAAUUAGAGAAUGAAAGAGGGAGAAACAUCUAGGAUGCCUUACUUUCUGCCUUGUGCACUCUAUGGCAGUGCCUUUUACUAAGGACACUGGAGGAAGAUCAGAUUUGGGGGCAAAGAGCACAAUUCCUCAGGUACUGCUUUAUCUCUGAGAAGGACCCAGGAAAAAGGGAGAAGUGGAAGACCAGAGAGUCUAAGGAAUCAGCAUGGUACUGGGUUCCAAAGAAGGUGGAGGAGGAUGGGGUCCAAAGGAUUGGCUUCCGAUGGACAGAGUGCUUUUAAUCUAGAAGAAAGGAGAGGCUAGUGCGUAUGCAGGCUUUGGUUUUCUCUGAAAUUUGAGACCAGGGCAGAUGGUUGAAAAUGCAAGUUUUAAAACAGUUAUUGUGGAGAGUAAAGUGCCCAGAGGUGUUGGGUCCUCCACACCAUUCUGUAGUUCCCCAACUAGUUGGUGAUCGAGAACUACACUGAAAGUUUGCCUCUUGUGGUUUUAUUUUUGUUGCCCUCCCUAGUAACACCCUGAUGCCUAGGUACAGACGUGCAGAAAAUAGAGAUAACUUGGAGUUUUGCCAGAUAAGUCUGACUAGAACAAAGGACAAUAACUGAAUAAUUAUUAAAAUUGAGUUGUUGAAAAAGGGUCCUACGGUACUUAAACUGAAUAGGUAAGGACGUGAAGGCAACACACAGUGUUGGGAAGACAGUAGACAGCCCAAUGGACAGUCUGACGACAGCUCUGAUCUACUGGGAGUUGUUGAGCAAGCAGCUUGGGAAGGACAGAAAAUGCUAGCCUGAGACCAGGAUGCUUGGAUUAGUGAUAUGAGAAGAGCAAGUUCGUGGUGUAGUACGAUCCAAGGCGUGACCUUGCAGUGGCUACAUGAAGUUAAGGAAGAUCACUGGAGACAAAACAAGAUCACAAAGCCUAAAAAGACAAGUGGGUUGGACGGGUGGACAUUAAGAUCAUCCAGAGUCGUAGUGGAGAGGAAAACUAAGUCAGGUGGCAGUGUGUUCAGUGAAUGAAGGGAAGGGAGCAGGGGGCAGCAACAAGGAGGGGUGUGAGCCUCAAAGGGAUCAGGCAGUGGAGACCGCUGACGCAGGCAAGCCUGCAAGAGGAGGAGCUCUGCCUCCUGGAAGGGUCCAAACAUGCGUGGACGAGUAACAAACUGAUUAAAAAGUGCUUUGUGUAUUGCCAAAGGCUUGAUGUCCUUUACCAGAUGCUUAAGCACUAUUUGUUGAGUUAAUGAAUAGACGGAAGGAAGGAAUGAUCUCGGUUUAAAAUUUCUUGGUUUUGCUAGCUUGCUGCAGCACCCCCUUUCAACUGACAUCGGCCCCAGUGUUCCAGCCUUUAAAUACAUUUUUGAAUUUUUGUUUUUAAUGUUUUAAGAGUUACAUUUUCUUUUUUAAAGAAACCAGCCAAAGCAUUCUGCACCAGUUAAAAUCGGUCACCUCUUAUUCUUAUUCAGGUUAUUCAAAAGUUUCUCUAAUUAUUAUUUAUUCCCCCCAGAGACAACUCUAUCUUAAUUGGUUCACAGUUCUUCAUUCCAUUAAAACUUAUUUAUUUGUUAUUCCAGCAAAGAGAAAUACAUUCUUGAAUGGAAUUUUAGACUCACUCAAAUUACCAACUUCACCAAAAUUUUUUUUAACUAACAUGAAAAUGGGUCCUUGGUAAUCAAGAAUUUUGCCUGCGUGCUCUCACGUGGGCUGACUGACCCCUCGCCUUAUUGGUAUAUACAGGACUCUUGGUGACUUAGUUGGUAUAUUCACAAGGGAUCUUUUUACCACUUUUCAGGGCUCAUACUGUUCUCUUGGCGAGUAGAAUAAGCUGUCAAUUGACUUUUCUACCAGUUUAUAGCAUAAUCUUUGCAGAAAAAUACAAUUUUGGUUUACAUUGAUUUACGUUCAUCCCAAAGAAGCAUCUUUCUUUGGUUGGCAGCAAAAUACUAUUAAAAAUAUAGUUAUCCUGACUUACUUUAUUUUCUUAUCUAAUUAUUAUAAUUGCCUACUGAGCUGUUACUUCUUUGAGGUAAACUAGGGAAGACGUUCUGCAGUUUUUAUUAAGAUGGAUGGAUCAGCUGUUGGGCUGAGGAGCCCUCCUGAUGGAUUGACUACGAAUUUAGUUCUUUUUAGCUCUUCCUAAGUAGCCUGAACUCUGAGCCUGGGAAAAAACAACUCUUAAUCUUCAUCCUCUCCCUUUCUAGUCCUUCCUCCUCAGCCAACAAACAUGUUCCUGUUUCUCCAGUCCUUAAAAAGAAAAAGUCACUCCCUUGAUAGCACCAGUUUAGUCGCCCUUCUCCCUUUCAUAUCCAAACUCUGUGUACACUUCCUCUCCAUUCACUGCCUCACUUGCUGUUCAUCUCCCAUCUGGUUCUCAUCCCUCAUUAAACAAAACAGACGCCUCUUGAUUGUCAAACGAAUAUGUUUAGUUCUUAUCUCACCGGAGGCUCUCCCCUGCAUUUGCCACUGUUAGUAAUUCAGUCCUUGAAACUGCUUCAUCUUGUGCUGGAACAGUUCGGGUGCCUUCUCUCUCUGGGGCUCUUCUUCACACACUCACCUUUUCCAUUUUGGCGAGUCCUACUUAUCUCCUUAUUUAUCUCGGCUGAUCUCAGCCACUCAUGCUCUCAGCAAUCACCUGUUUAUUCAAGCCUCCACGCAUUUCUCUCUCUAGCCCAGACUUUUCUACCUGUGAUGCAUUUCCACCCAGAUACCUACUCACAUACGACAAGGCCAAACUUAUAUUCCUCCUGAUUCUCUACCUCAUUUGGGGGUUCAGCCAACCGCCCGAGCGAGAGUUCCCUCUCCAUUACCCUACACAUGUCCUCAAUUACACAUUCCUAUUGAUUUACCUACUAAAUAACGUUAUAAUCUAUCUUCUCUCCCACUCCCACUUUAGGCGCACAAAUCUCUUCCUGAAACAAUACAAAACAUAUCUAACCAGAUUUUACAUCCUUAGCCGCCUCCCCCUGCUGCUGUGUACUACCAAAAAAGCGUUCCAACAAAAUCGAAUCAUUUCAGUCCCCUGCUUAAAGCAUUUGGUGUUGUCUUUAGCCCACGAUAAUGCUCAGAAUCCAACCUAACCCACAAAACCCUCCCUGAUCUGGCCCCUGCCACACACGCAGCCUCAUGUCUUGCCCUCUGUUUUCUGUGCCAGCAUCACCUACUUGUUCUGCCUACACACACUCCCGCACGUGCACACACGUCACACCAUUUCCCCACUCCUCUCCUUACUUAUGCCGCAUUUGACCAACUCAUUUUAGGUGUUAGGUGGUAACACCCCCAAGAAUCAUGCAACAACUCACUCAUCUGCCAUCCCCACCCCACAUGCCCUUCCUCUGGCCUCCAUAGGUACUGAGUGUAUUUCUAAAACAGCUCUUACAAUCCAUGGUUCUGGGUCCUGCAUGAGGCAAUAUAGAAUGGUGUUUUAUUCAUCUGUAUCUCCUGCAUUCAGUACAUUUAAAUGUUUGUUGAAUAAAUGUCAUUAAGAUGAACACUUUUCCACAGUGUUUUAGUACCCUUUGUAGUACCCUGAACACUUUAAUAAGUGUUGAAAAACAAACAAACAAAAAACGAGUAGAACGUUUUACUAAGUUGUUUUUUUAAACACGGAUAACUUUUUCAAAGCAUGUUCACAUAUUACUGUCUUUUUGGAAAACCCUUAGAGUAAAUUCAUGAAGCGUUUGUUUCAUCAAAAUAUAGGUUAGAAAACUAACAUACAAAGAGGAUAAAUUAUUUGCCUAAGAUUUCCUUGUAUGUACUUAAGUAGUUCAUAACUUUCCUUGGACCUUAGACCUCUGAGACUGUGCUUACAGCUGUGGGCCUUCUUCAGAGAAAAACUCUUAUUUGCAAAUAAAACAUUUUGCAUAUAACUUAAGGGGGUUGCUACACAGACUCCACCAUGAGAACUCCUAGUUACGGGCAGACGUCGGAGAUAUUGCGGGUUCACUUCUAGACCACCUCAAAAAAAGCAAACGUCACAAUAAAGCGAGUCUGGCUCGCUUUUGGCUUUCCCAGUGCCUAUAAAAGUUAUGUUCAGACUAUACUGCAGUCAGAUAAGUGCGCAGUAGCCUGUCUAAAAAGACAAUGUACGUACCUUAAUUAAAAAAUAUUUUAUUGCCAAAUUCUAACCAUCAUCUGACCAUGUAGGGUUGCCACAAACCUUCAAUUUGUAAAAAAAAACAAGCACAGUAAAAUAAUGAUGUAUGCCUGUAAUUGCAGAGCAGAGAUUAAGGGUGCUCUCUACCAAAUGCCCUUCCCUCUUUAUUUGAACGUCUACUGGUGCUCUUAGAAAUUUUAAGGUUUUAAUCACCUUAAAUUGUUUUUGUAACAAGGCAAAGUAAGUAAAUGUGAUUUCAAUUCAACUCGCAAGGGGUUCUGCAGACUUCAUUGAUGCAGAUUCCAAAAUUGGUGGCUAUUUUAAAUGUCUCUUUUACAGAUGGAGAAACAGAAUCUUCUCUGUAAACCAAGCAACACCAAACUUUUGACAAAAGCUUUCUCUGUAUUUUUAUAACUAGACGAUUCUGUUUCCAGAAAUGUAAACAGACUAGGUAAUUCUGACUGCCUUCCACUAAAAGCCAACAAAAACUAAUGGGUAACUUUUAUUUUUUGUAUUGAACUAACAAACAUCAGCAAGAAAUGACUAGGUCAAAAUCCACGUGAAAAUGGGAUGUGGAAUAGGGAAGCAAGUACGGAAGGUACUUUUGUCCCGGGGCAUCUACCAAACCUGAGGAGUAUGAGCUUCAGUUUCCAGGGCCUGACGGGACAUGUGAACAGAAAUCAAAGACCCUUUAUAAAGCAGGUCCUGCAAAGGGCUACUUCCGGAUGACGGUGAACCAGGAGUAAACCUUUACCCCAACACCACUAGGGCACUGCAAGAAAAGUUGCUUUAGCUCUGGGCAGACCGAGUUAAGAAAAACCUCUGACAAACUGUCACUGCAAGCUAGCCCUUGCACCUAGUUGCAACCCAAAUUCACACCCCGUACAUGUUACAAAAGCCUCAAACUGUAAAUUUAGAUUAAACUGGACUGGGGGAAUUCCCUAAACGCUGGCCAGAAUGCAGAUCCUCUGAAAGGAUACUGUUUCAUCCUAAGCCUCAAAGGACUCCCAAAAUAAUAUUCUAAGGAAAAUGAGCAACUCAAAAAGUAAUCACACAAGGAAACAGGACACCAUGAAUGAGAGUGACCAAAAAAAUCCAAAAGUUUCAGAUACGGAAAUCAUGAGACAUUAUAAAAUAUGCAUAAUAUUUUUGUUAAUGAAAUAGCUUGAAGCUACACGGAAUAGGAAAUCUUUUUAGUAACAGAUUUGAAAAAGGGAUUAAUGGAAUUUGUAUAAAUAAAAAUACAGAAACUGAGAUUAUCAGAUUAGAUAGCCGUAGAGGGAACCAAAGGGAAGACAGGUCAGAAGGAAUUAUUCCGAACGCAACACAAAACAAAUGGACGAAAUCAAGAAGAAGGUGAGCAACGUGGGAGAGGGGAAGGGCUUAACGUAUGUCUAAUCAGAGCUCCAGAAGAAGAAGAAAGAAAAUGGGGUAGAAGCUAUAUUUCGAGAUCUGAGGGUUCAGGAUUUACCUGAACUGAUGAAAAGCAACAAGUGAAAGAUUAGAGAAGCUCAGUGAAUCCCAAGCGAGAUACAUUUUAAAAAGCCACACCCAGACAUGUUAUAGUGAAAGUGCAAAUCAACAAUAGUACACAAAGUGUCUUAAGGGCAGCUAGAGAAAAAGAGAUUGUGGGAAUUCCCUGGCAGUCCAGUGGUCAGGACUCUGUGCUCUCGUUGCUGAGGGCCCAGGUUCGAUCCCUGGUCAGGGAGCUAAGAUGCCACAGGCUGCAGUGGAAGCCAGGAGACAAUGCGAUGGCCUAAGAGGAAAUAAUUACCAACGUAGAACCCUACUCCCAUGAAAUACAAUUUUCAAGAAUGAAGAUACAUUUUCAGAUCACCAAACUCAAAGGUUGUCCCUAGCAUACCUUCACUAAAGAAAAUUCUAAGAGAUGGAUGAAGAGCAAUAGAAGUAGUAAAUAUAUAUGGGGCGACUAAACAAAAUUGACUGUAUGAAACAACGAUGGUGUCUUAUGGAUUUAAAUUAAAUAUUUAAAAUCUAUAGGCAUAGCAUAACUCAGGAGCAAGGUAAAUGGAAUUCAGAGUGUUCUACAGCACUUGAAUCGUCAGAAGGUGGUUAAACUUACUGAUCAAUUUUAGACUUUGGUUAAGUAUGUAUAUUGAAUUAGUAGGAAUAGGAACAAAGUAUGUUACUUUCAAACUAACAGGAAAAGAUCAAAAUUUUUCAAAAGG